UACGUGACGUCAUCGUAUAUGUUUUCGUGCUAAGCUAGCUAGCUACGUUGAUUUCUGCUACGUCGAAAUCGAGAAAGAAUCGAAAUAAUACUUGUACAAGUAAAUGUUAUUCCAUUAAUUGAUGCAAUCGUGAGAAGCAAGAUUUGUGACAAUCGAGAUGGGAGGGACAGACUCCAAGCUGAAUUUUAGGAAAGCAGUCGUACAGUUGACAACAAAAACACAGCCUGUCGAGGCAGGAGAUGAUGCCUUCUGGGACCAGUUUUGGGCCGACAGCGUUACCAGCGUGACCGAUGUCUUUGCACUCAUCCCAGCUGCUGAGAUAAGAGCACUCAGAGAGGAAUCACCAUCUAAUCUGGCCACUCUCUGCUACAAGGCUGUCGAGAAGCUAGUAUCAGCUGCAGAGUCUGGAUGCUCCGCCCCUAGAGACCAGCAGGUGGUACUCAAUGCAGCCCGCCUCCUCACCCGCAUCCUGCCGUAUAUCUUUGAGGAUCCUGAUUGGAGGGGAUUCUUCUGGUCUACCUUGCCUGGCCAAUCAGCAAACAUGGAUGGGGUGGAUGACUUUAGCGAUGAAGAAUCAUUACCCCUGGCCCAGUCUCUCCUUGCAGCCCUGUCAGACCUUCUCUUCUGUCCUGACUUCACCGUGGUCGCUGCCAAGAAAACCGGACCGGAGAAGCCUGAUGACCCUCAGUCAAUAGACAGCUGUGAAUACAUCUGGGAUGCAGGGGUGGGGUGUGCCACCGCCCCACCCCACUUUGCUCACUUGGAUCAGAAUCGGACUGAAAUCCUUAAGCUUCUCCUUACCUGCUUCUCAGAAACAAUGUAUCUUGCUCCGGCCAGUGAUGCACACAGUCUGCCCAAUCAGUGGAUUAGUUUCUUCUGUUCAUCAGACAACAGACAUGCCCUCCCCCUGUUCACCUCGAUGUUAAACAUAGCAUGUGCCUACGAUCCAGUGGGCUAUGGAAUGCCGUACAACCAUCUACUCUUCUCAGAUACAAGGGAACCCCUGGUAGAGAUCGCUUCACAGAUCCUGGUGGUCACCCUUGACCAUGCUAACCCUCACAAUGUUGCAUCAUCGGUUGAUGGGGCAGAAGAAGUCCAUGAGGGAGUGUUACCGGAGAACUUGUUUGUAAACUACCUAUCCCGUAUCCACCGAGAAGAAGACUUUCAUUUCAUUCUGAAAGGCAUCACAAGACUCCUGAACAACCCACUCAUCCAGACCUACCUUCCAGGGUCCACCAAGAAGAUAGCCUUUCAUCAGGAGCUCCUGGUUCUCUUCUGGAAAAUGUGCGAUCAUAACAAGAAGUUCCUCUUCUAUGUUCUGAAGAGCAGCGAUGUCUUAGAGGUUCUUGUUCCAAUCCUGUACCAUCUCAACGAUGCCCGAGCUGACCAGUCUCGUGUUGGUCUGAUGCACAUUGGUGUGUUCAUCCUGCUGCUCCUCAGUGGGGAAAGAAACUUUGGUGUUCGUCUGAAUAAGCCCUACAGCGUACGCGUUCCCAUGGACAUUCCAGUAUUCACAGGCACUCACGCUGAUUUUCUCAUCAUUGUAUUCCAUAAGAUCAUCACAUCUGGCCACCAGAGAUUACAACCUCUCUAUGACUGCCUACUCACCAUCAUUGUUAAUGUGUCUCCCUAUCUGAAGAGUUUAUCAAUGGUAUCAGCAAAUAAAAUGCUUCAUCUUCUGGAAGCCUUCUCCACCCCUUGGUUUCUCUUCUCAAGCCCGUCAAACCAUCAUCUGGUUUUCUUUCUUCUUGAAAUCUUCAACAACAUCAUCCAGUAUCAGUUUGAUGGUAACUCCAACUUGGUGUACACCAUCAUCCGGAAGCGCACGGUGUUCCAUCAAUUGGCUAACCUCCCUUCGGAUCAAGCAUCUAUCUCCAAGGCCCUGGCUAAGAGGAGUAAGAAGCUUAGCCCCAGUCCAGCCACGGACUACCCUGACGCUGCCUCGAUGGAGGGAUCCAUGCAGGCUGCGGACGCUGAGCCAGGAACUCUCAAAGCCACACUUCUUGCAACGCCAGGUGUGUCUAUGAUGACAGAAACAUCCAAGGUCAUGCCGGGUGAGGCAGCAGCGGCAGCAGCAGCUAGCAUGGAGAACAGUAAUGCAGAGGCACUCUCAGGGGGUGGCGGUGACAACAUGGCACAGAGUAUCCAGACAGCCGUUUCCCCUCAGAGCGAUACUGAGAGCCACACCUCAGAAUCAAGUAGAGUACCACCCCAGGAUGGCCAAGCACGACCUGGUUUCAACAGCGAGGAUUUCCGGCCGGCUGCACUGCAGAGGACGGGAUCAACAUCAUCAAGCGCUGCUGCCAGCGUAGCGGGAGAGUGGAGACCUACUCCAGAAUGGGUUCAGUCUUGGAAGCAGAAGCUACCGCUUCAAACCAUCAUGCGGCUUCUUCAGGUCCUAGUCCCACAGGUGGAGAAAAUCUGCAUUGACAAAGGACUAACAGACGAGAGUGAGAUCUUGAAGUUCUUGCAGCACGGGACCCUUGUGGGACUACUCCCUGUCCCUCAUCCUAUACUCAUCAGGAAAUACCAGGCUAACAGUGGUACAACACUCUGGUUCAGGACCUACAUGUGGGGAGUCAUUUAUCUCAGGAAUUUGGAACCGCCCAUCUGGUACGAUACAGCAGUGAGGCUGUUUGAAGUUCAGAGAAUCAACGACAGCUAGUCACAGGUUGCUGCAGACUUCUUCCACGUAAUAAGCUCACCGGAACUUGGAUCCACCGAUUUGGUACGACACUGACGUGAAACUCUUCGAGAUUCAGCGGGUGUAAUAUAUUGCUACUAAUAGAGUAUAUAGAUCUAGGCUUGUAUCCAUGGUCCCUGAGUAGUGCAACACUUGGUCUAAUAUCCAUUUGGUCCAAUAGCAAUUUGGUUGAAAGCCCACCUGAUCUAAUUCCCAUUUGGUCUAAUUACCAUUGGUCUAAUGCCCAGAUGGUCUUGGUCUAAUGCCCAUUUGGUCUAGUGACAAUUGGUCUAAUGCCCAUUUGAUCUAAUGCCAUAUGAUCCAAUCCCAUUUUAUGCAUACCUAACCAUUUGCUCUAGGUUUUUUCCUUUUAUGAAAUGUAGGUGAUGUCCAUUUCGUCAGUUACAAACUUUCUGUUUAAAUUGAUUUCACAAAUAUGCAAUUGGUCCAAGAGGUUGUAAAACAAAUAGGGGAACAACCAAGGCAAUGGGACAGUCUUAAUCAAAUAUACAAUCAUAAGACAAAUUACUAUUAGGAGGAAUGGAUAUUGGACCAAGCGAUGUUGGACCAGAUGGCAAUUUGACUAAAGUGUGAGUACAUGUAGACCAAACGGGUUCAGUCAGUAUGGAACUAAGCCAUGGAAUUUAAACCAACUGAUUAAUGUCAAGUAGAUGUUACUCUCUUCCCGAGACAAGCCUCUCUUUUAAUACCUAAAAGCAUAACUUCAUGAACAACUUUAUAAUUCAGCCACUGGUAUGUUAUACGUGUAAUGACCAAUGUCAAGCGUGCCACUACAAGCUAGUGGUUAGGGUUUGGAAAAUUGAUUUUAAAAAAAUCAUAACAUGGUCUUGUGCAAAGCUAGAUUGCUAAUUUUAGCCUUCUGAUCAAUCUAAGAGACAUCCCUGCGCAAUUUAUUUAUAGAAAACCUGUCUGUAUAUAUUGUUUUCAUCUCAAAUGCAAUUACCACACAAUGGACAUGCAUUUCAUUAUGCAAGUAUGUAGGAGUGGCAAUUAUAUACGAUGGAGGGGGGGGGGCACCAAAGUUCACCACCCCAAAAGACGCCCAAAUCAUAUUGAAAGGUAAGAGUGGAAUAGAUAACGUUUUAAGAGGGAGCAAAGCAAGCGAGCUGAUGGAUAUUAUGAAACAAUAAUGGACAGUCGUCAGUGCAUGAAUUUGGUAUUUUGGCUUAAUUCAGAUUUUUUUUUUUUCGCUAUAAAGUUUCAAUGGAAGAUGAUCCCCCUCCCCCCCCCCCCUCCUCCUGCCAAAAAAAAAGAGAGAGAGGAGAACAUACUGAAUUGUGCUAUAUACUUCACAUCUAUAUGGCUGUCAGGUGAAUGCACUAAGAGUAACGUUAUGUAUUAGUAAAAUGUCUACCAGCAUCUUCAAAUGUUCAUUGUACAUAUAUAUACAUGUAUAUAAAAUAUUGUAUAUACAGUAUGUUUUUGUGGUCAAAGUACAGGGAGUGUACUUUAUAGUAGAAACACAGUUUACACCUGCAUUUAUUAGGGCAGGUGUCCCAAAAAAUUGAGCUAUUCUCAAAUCCACUUGUCAGUAACAGUGCUCAUGCAUUAUUUAAAGAGUAAUAAGAAAAGGGCACUGUAAAGAAAGAGGCUCAGUCAGUAUUGGAAAUUGAAUUGUUUUGUGUGCACAGUUUGUCCUAGACUUGCUAUUACAAUCAGUUGUAAGAUUGAUUGCAUCUUUGAUGGCACAGGGCCUACUAGUAGGUCCUUCAUGUCAGUUAGGAUGUGCCAUUCUGGGGUGGGUUUCACAAAGAUUCAAGUGUGACUUCUAACCGCACAUUGAGUAAAGAAAAAGUGCAGUAUGAUACAUUGGAAUACGGCCCCCCCCCUUUCCUCCGGCAUUGAACAAAUAUAACAUUGACUUUGAAUGAUGCCUGGUGAUGUGGUGCUAUGAUAUAUUUCAAGGAAGAAAUUUCCAGUUGCUUCACCAAUGUUGAACUUGGCGAAUGUCUUGGUUAAUCCAGCUUCACAGUGUAUAAUCCUCUGUGAUCAAAAUUGUGCUAAUAUAUGGUAAGCACCUUGACUGAUCACAUCUACAAAUAUUCUUAUAAUAAUUUUGCUAGUUUAUCCUUGCAUCCCAAAUUAAGGCCCAACCAGUUUAUGAUUUUACCCAAUAGAACGCAAUGCCCAGUCACAUGAUUGCUCUGACAUCACUUUUGAUUAGAAACCAGUUCUGCCUUUUCUGAUACAGUAAACCAUAGGCACCUCCCAAAGCUCCCAAGUAUUACAACACCAGCCCUGAUUUUUAUAUAACCAAUGCAAUGAUAAUUCAUGAAUGCAUACAAAGAUCAAUUCGCAGAUUUUUAAGAUUCUACAAUAUUCUGAAUGAUAAUCAUAGUGUUCUGCUUUUGAUGUAUGAAAAUACUUUCAGGCUUUGGAAACUUUGUAAAUGAAGUGUUGAUAGCUUGGCACUAUGCCAAAACAUCUAAUCAGAAAUAAGAUUAGAAUAAUAAAAAAUAAUCAUAGGUUUUUUUUCACAUGUAGUUAUCUUGGGUUACAGUCACAUAUUUUGUGAUGGUAUAUGAAACAUAUUAACUUCCCAAAAAGUGUCGAUAUGUGCAGGUUGUCUACAUAGACAAAAUGUUGUAUGCAUGUUUCAACUAGAGAAAAAAGAUAUUCAAAAGAAACCAAACUUGUAGUCUGUGUAGACAGAUGGUACUUCUUUGAAGAUAGCUCCAUUUCCUUGAAAAAUACAUACCUGUAACUGUUUGCACAAAUUAUCGGAGUAUGCAUGUAUAUUUUAAGAUAAUAUACCUUGACUUUUAUUCUACUGGGGGCCUAAGCAUUAAAGCCUACUGUCUCUUGUCAAGUACAUGUAGGUUGAUACCAUUUCACCAAAGAGAUUUUAAAAUGAUUAUUUUAAAAUAUAUUUGGUUGACUUUUGAGUGAUGUCAUGCAAGCAUUUUUUUUUUCUCUCAACUGAAUCAUGUCAGCCCAUUCUCUUUAAUCGUAAAAUUCAUGCAGCUGCGAUGCCAUUUCUUAUGAAAUACACUAGUUUUCACAUGCCAAAUGUAAUUAUUGAAGUAAUGAAUUUGAUUGUAUCAAAUAUGAAAGGGAAUCACACUAUUGAUUUGGAAUUAUUUUAAAUUAUUACAUGUUACAUCCAAUGCCUUCUGUAUUAUAAACAUAGCACAUAUCAUUUUUCAUUUGAUUGUCGGGAAACAUGAUUGUUUAACUUGUAAUCUAUAUUAAUUUUAAAUCCUUAUAAUCAUUAUACCCAAUUAUAAUGAAAGACCAUUAACAUUUACAAUUUGAUUGAGAAUAUGUCUUUUAAUGGAAAAUGUCUAUUACAUACAUAAGACAUUAUAGUACAUGAACUUUGACUGACUACAUUUUCAAUAUCUUAACCAUGACUCAGGCAUCAUCAAAAAUUAAUUCAAUGAUUAGUAGAAUCACAAUUUCCCUUGAAAAUGUUAUUUAUUAUCCAUGUACAUGUGUCUCCAAGUAACAUAGAGAUGUAUUCUGUUUUAGCGGUAUAUAAAGUGAAUUGCUGUUUGGCAAGCACCGCGAGUGUCCAUGCAAAGUGGGUGUUGCCCAAGAAGUCCUCAGUAUAAUUGUUUAUUGCUCUUUGAAGUACCUAAGUGGUGAUGUCCUCCCCCC